CGCACACACAGGCGCUGUGCUUGGCAGAGCUUUGUUUGCUGGCUGCUGGCUGGAGGUGACAGAGGCACAUGGCUGUAUGGGGCUGGGAGCCCGGAAAAUAACCAAGAUCUGAAGAGGUUUCAUGCUUUCUCAUCAUCUGCAAAACCAUUCUCUCAGCAGGGGAAUUUUCUGCUCUGCAGUUUCUCUGGUUUGGAAGUGAAGCAGUUUAACAAUUUGUCCUGGAGGAAACAGCGCCCUCAACGCAGCACUGAUGACAACGAAACGCCACGCAUGGUGCAACCUGCUUGUGAGGCCCUGUCUUCAGAAAGCAUAACCACGACAGAAGCUCUCCCUGCAGAGAGAUUUGCUUUACUAAUUACCAUUUCCCGAAGCUUCGUAUUCCCUACGGGAAAAGGAGUGAAGUGUCGUCCUGCAACAUUACACUGAGCUCUUUGCUGAACAAGACAAGGGAGCACUGUCAUUCUGGUUUCGUGCUGAGAGAACUUCAGCAGAGUGGUGACUCCUCACCCCAAAGCAUGGCACCAGCAACGUCUCUCCUCCCAGCACAGCAUGAGGCCUUCCCUCCCCACAAACCCAGGGCACCACAGGUGAGAGGUGCUGUUCCUGGAAGGAGAUGUCUGCCC
ensembl:lncRNA